rnacentral:lncRNA from 1 species
CUGCAUUUGGGCUCUGGGCAUCCACCUGGUUCCCAUCUACCACCAGCUCAAGGCGGUUUUUGAUCUUCUUGGCAGUGACUUUAUGCCAUCGUCCAUCGCACAUAUGGCCUGGGCUCCCAGCAUCGUAGACCGCAGUGAAUCGGCCGGCGCCAUUAUCCACAUGGAACAUAAGCUGGAAAGGAAUCUGGCGCACAGUGGAGCUUUAAUCAUUGGAUAACCAAAUGAAUGAGCACACAAUAGGACUGACUGAAUCAAGGGCUCUCAAAACCAGGUCUCGUGUGGCAAGAUACAUCAGGAGAGCAUUUGAUGAAAAUGUCCGGAACUUGAACAUGACUGUGGAGAUGUUGGGGUACCACCGGAUGGGACGGCUCACCAACGCAUACCCUUCUCCAUCAAACUGAAUAGUCCCUUCACUGUCUUCCACUUGCGGGCUGAAAAGAGACAUUUCACACUAGUUAGACCUCUUCAGUUUGUCAUCCUUCAAUGAACCAUAUUAUUUCCUAGGACUGGAUGAUAAGCUGUUGUGGGACACAAACUAUCUCAAACGUGGCAUGGAUCUCUCUCACCCCCACCUCCACAGGCCAGUAUUAGAACCACAACCUCUUACCUGGACUUUCAUGGGCUGAAUCUAGUACAUCACUUCCCAUCUA